rnacentral:rRNA from 1 species
GAUGAACGCUGGCGGUGUGCCUAAUACAUGCAAGUCGAGCGAACAGACGAGGAGCUUACUCCUCUGACGUUAGCGGCGGACGGGUGAGUAACACGUGGAUAACCUACCUAUAAGACUGGGAUAACUUCGGGAAACCGGAGCUAAUACCGGAUAACAUGUUGAACCGCAUGGUUCAACAGUGAAAGACGGUCUUGCUGUCACUUAUAGAUGGAUCCGCGUCGCAUUAGCUAGUUGGUAAGGUAACGGCUUACCAAGGCAACGAUGCGUAGCCGACCUGAGAGGGUGAUCGACCACACUGGAACUGAAACACGGUCCAGACUCCUACGGGAGGCAGCAGUAGGGAAUCUUCCGCAAUGGGCGAAAGCCUGACGGAGCAACGCCGCGUGAGUGAAGAAGGUCUUCGGAUCGUAAAACUCUGUUAUUAGGGAAGAACAAAUGUGUAAGUAACUAUGCACGUCUUGACGGUACCUAAUCAGAAAGCCACGGCUAACUACGUG